GGCCACCCAAUUCUUAUCACAGACAGUUCUUUACACUGACUUUAUAGAAAGAGGAGGUACAGUAAAUGCACCCCAUAUACUCCUAAACACGGGCCCUUUGCCUAGUCUGUAUUGUGAAUUGGGAGACAAAA